GGGCGCAGGAGCGAGCCAGCUGCCCAGCUGCCACUCCUUCCACAGCCAGCUUCAUUUGACUGAUCUGGCUGGCUGGGCUGUCCCUCUUCUGUCCUCUCUACUCCCGGGGGGUCCCUCCUAGAGCUGUGCCUUCACCAAAGAAGUGACCUUCCCAGAUGAGGGGAGACCUUGCUUGGCCAAGGAGAUGCCUGGAGUGUGCUCCACUGCUAAAUACCCCUAAAUGACCUCUCAAGAACCAUUUGUGAGAGAAAGUACGUGGUUUAAGUCCCAUUCAAAACUGACUUCAAUCCUGGGGUUCUUU
rnacentral:snRNA from 1 species